CCUUGCGAUAGAAUCGGCGGAGACGGGGUCACCGAUUUGACGGCAUUGCCCGCGAUCAUGGAGACAUUGUCCAUGAUCACAGAGACAGCGUCUAUGAUCUCAGAGACAUCGUCCAUGAUCACAAAGAUAUUGUCCAUGAUCACAGAGACUUUGUCCAUAAUCUCAGAGACACUGUCUGCGAUCACAGAGACGUAGUCCACGAUCACAGAGAGUCUUCAUACAAUGAAGAAGUUCUUUGAGACCAGGACAGAGGCCUCCAGGUGUCACCACUUUGUCCACGACAUCGCCCACGAUCGCAGAGACUUUGUCCGUGAUCGGAGAGACAUUGUUGAGGAUGAGGGAGACAUCGUCCAUGAUCAGAGACAGUUGUCCAUGAUAACAGAGACCUUGUUAAAGAUGAGAGAGACGUUGUCCAUGAUCAGAGACAUUGUCCCAUGCUUUGUAGAGACCUCACCGAUUUGACGGCAUUGCCCGCGAUCAUGGAGACAUUGUUGAUGAUCACAGAGACACUGUCUAUGAUCUCAGAGACAUCGUCCAUGAUCACAGAGACUUUGUCCAUAAUCUCGGAGACAUUGUCCAUGAUCACAGAAAGUCUUCGAACACUGAAGAAGUUCUUUGAGACCAGGACAGAAGCCUCCAGCUGAAUUCACGGAACAGAAUCCACCAAAGAUGAAGAAGGAGAAGAUGACAGCACCUGAAGACCUGAAGUGAAUGAAAGACAACAAAAGUGUUACAGCAUUGAUAAUUAGAUAAGACUUCCACCGUCUAACUGCUGUAAACAAUGUUGGUUUCCUGUUUGAGUGAAAACAGUUGGUUUUUCUCUACCAUCUGUACUGUAGUCAUGGGCAAAGACUAAUGCGUCCUACUUCAACACCUGUGAGAACAUUUAACUGCUUAUGAUAAAGUAUUUAAUUAAUAAUUGUAUCAGAAGCAGUUAAAUAAUCACAAAGAUGCUCAGUAGACAUAUUUAUCUUUGGAAAAUGUGCUCAUAACUACAUAAACCCUAACCGGCUCUCCUUGUGGUCAAAUGUCUGUCAUUAUCUUUGCUGUGAUUUGUUAAAUGUUGUCUGGAAUAAAAUUUCUCCCCAAACUUUUGAGUUGAAUUUCUCUAUUUUGAAACUGAUGUUAUACAAAUCAUGUUAUGCAUUUUAUUUAAAACAUAAAAAUAUAUUAUUUUAAGUUUUAUAUUUAUUUUUUGUGGUUUUAAAUUAUUUUUUUUCUGUUUUAGUAGACUUAUUGUACUCAGCUUUUUAAUGGGUUUGAUACUUGUUUAGAUUAUUUUUUACAGGUUUUAUGCUUAAUUCUUAAGCGUAUUUUAAAUAUAUAUAUAUAUAUUUGAAAAGGUUGAAUAUUUAAAGGUUU